UUCUCUUCCACUGCUUGGUCUUCCUUUUGCCAGAUCUUAUCACUCUGAACAUCUCAUCCUCAGCCACAGGCCUAACCUUGGGCAGAGGCACCUCCCAUUUUCCAGCUUUCUCUUUCCUCUUUUGCUUUAUUGUGUUGCUAAGAAUCUUAGCUCUUGUGGUAGUCUCACGAUCCAUCAGAUAUGCAGGGACAGCACCCUCAUGCACAUCAUCAUCAACCUUGCGCCGGGAUGAUGACUCUUCAUGCAUAGCCAAUGUUUUCUUCAUUUGGGCCUUCUCAGCAUAACGCUUCUUAGCAAACAUCUUACCCUUGAUACCCAAAGCCUUUUGGGCAAUUUGGGAUCGCUUGUGAACUUCACGAGCAUCCUUCUUACGUUUACGCUCAAAGUGAUCAGGGCGACGCCCAAAUCUCUUCCUGUGCAACUCUAUGUAAUCUCCCUGAGGCAUGGCUACG
rnacentral:misc_RNA from 1 species